rnacentral:rRNA from 1 species
CCUACGGGAGGCUGCAGUGGGGAAUAUUGCUCAAUGGGGGAAACCCUGAUGCAGCGACGCCGCGUGAGUGAAGAAGUAUUUCGGUAUGUAAAGCCCUUUUAGCAGGGAAGAAAAUGACGGUACCUGACCAAGAAGCCCCGGCUAACUACGUGCCAGCAGCCGCGGUAAUACGUAGGGGGCAAGCGUUAUCCGGAUUUACUGGGGGUAAAGGGAGCGUAGACGGCAGGGCAAGUCUGGAGUGAAAGGCGGGGGCUCAACCCCCGGACUGCACUGGAAACUGCGAGGCUGGAGUGCAGGAGAGGUAAGUGGAAUGCCUGGUGUAGCGGUGAAAUGCGUAGAUAUUAGGAGGAACACCGGUGGCGAAGGCGGCUUACUGGACUGUAACUGACGUUGAGGCUCGAAAGCGUGGGGAGCGAACAGGAUUAGAUACCCCAGUAGUC